UACAGAGGUCCCAAGCGUUGUUCGGAUUCACUGGGCGUAAAGGGUGCGUAGGUGGCGAGGUAAGUCGGAUGUGAAAGCUCGGAGCUCAACUCCGAAAUGGCAUUGGAAACUACCUUGCUCGAGGGAUGGAGGGGGGACUGGAAUUCUCGGUGUAGCAGUGAAAUGCGUAGAUAUUGAGAGGAACACCAGUGGCGAAGGCGGGUCCCUGGACAUCUCCUGACACUGAGGCACGAAAGCUAGGGGAGCAAACAGG
rnacentral:rRNA from 1 species